UACGUAGGGUGCGAGCGUUGCCCGGAUUUAUUGGGCGUAAAGGGCGCGUAGGUGGCUCGGCACGUCCGUUGUGAAAUCGCUCGGCUCAACUGGGCGAGGUCAGCGGAUAUGGUCGAGCUUGAGCCAGCUAGGGGGCAAUGGAAUUCCCUGUGUAGCGGUGAAAUGCGUAGAGAUGGGGGAGAACACUCGUGGCGAAGGCGGCCAGCUAGACCAGUUCUGACACUGAGGCGCGACAGCGUGGGGAGCAAACAGG
rnacentral:rRNA from 1 species